AGUUGCAGCAACAAGCUCUGUCUAUCAAGUCGGCAAAUCGAACGAAAAACACGCGUGAAAACGGCGAGUGAAAGGCGAGGAAGGGUGAGAAGGAAAUACGAACGUGCAACGGUAUUUUUAUUUUCUUAAAGUUUCGAAAAACCUUCUCUUUUUAUCUGCCUUUUGCUUGGUAAAACACGAAAGCUCCCGUAGGGAUCGACAGAUACGAGGAUUCCGCGACACCGCGACAGACAGCCAGUCUCGGUUCUGUUCUGUUGCUCCGUACGCGAUCGAAAAUAAAGCCGUUUAGGGUAAAGCGGUUUAAAGGACCGGCGGAGAGUAACUCUGUUGCAAACGGUGCCGGAUUAAACGCGUAAUCCGUGUCAAAGGCAUCCGGAGAAGCCGAAGCGGGACCCCUGUCGCGUUAUCUGUCUACUAGAUGGUUAAAUGCUGGUAGAGAGUGUAACUAUCUUCGGUAGGAUCGACAUGGUGUUAAAGAUGCAAAGGUGUGCCUACUACAUUAUGUUAUGAUGAAUGAAAUGAAAAUAGAAUGCAAUGUUAUAGACAUUGUCCUAGUUUUCUCCGAUAAAACUCUGUCGCUAUAUUCUACGAGCAUAAAUAAAAGACAGAUAUUUAUAUCGUGAGAUGUCACAUAUGGAUAUACAAAAUAUGUGAAGAAAAAAGCUAAAUGAUACACUUCUAAUGAAUGGAACCUGGAGACACGCGUAAAUAUCUUUGUGCAAAAGGCAAAUUGUUAUAUUCUGUUGCGGCAAUUUCGUUUGUGCUAAAUUGUAACGUUUAACAAGUGCUUUCUUCUUAUAGUAAAAUUUAUGAGUUUAUUGUCAACGAAUAAAGAGAGAAACUUCAAAGAACUGGCGUUAUUAAAUGCUACUGUAGAAAUGUGCUUCAUUUUUAUAAAUGAAAUUUUUGUUUACCUUCUUUUAAAAAUGACACGUGUAUCCAAGUAUUUAAAAUCUCUAUCUUAGAACAUACAAGCAUAUUAUAACAAACAACGGGUUUAAAAUAUAAUAAGAAGAUGAUUUUCCUCGAUCACACGUCUCUUUUACUGAAGUAACAACGAAAGAUAGUUGAAAUAGUUAAACAUGUUAAUUAUAUGUGUUGUAUAAAUUGAAUACUAUAACGAUACUCGAUUCAUUCACAAACGACGAGAUUUUCUAAUUGCAUUUAAGUAGCACAGUUGAAUCAAAUACAUCGUACGUUUCUCCACGCAAUAACUAACUAUUCUUGAUCCUUUAAAAUUCUCUUUAAAGCGCGUGGUCCGUGAACGCGUUCAAACGUCUAAACGCCACGGUUUGAACGGUGCCCUGUGAUUUUAACGCCUAAAGGAAGACGAAAAAAGAGAAGCCGAACGAAGUUCACCAAGCCUUUAAUUCCUUCCGUUAUCGCCGAGACACGUACGAAAGAGGUCGAGAAAAAACGAAGAAGAACUGUGUAUUUAAUGCAAUUCGCAGCGCUCUAUUCCGACCGAAACGUUCCUCCACUGUAUUUAACGGUUGGCUCCGUGGUUAGUAGGUGCUCUUUAUUCAAAAAUAUCUCGAAAGAAACUGUUUGAAAAAAAGGAAGAAAAUAAAAGAAGAAUUCUCGACUAGAGGUUAACGAGACAAUAAUUACUGGCGUAUGGGGAACGGAGAGAAAGUUUCUUGGGAUUGGAUAAUGGCUGGAUGAAAAUUUCGGCAAAUGUUUGCUAAUUAAAGCAACGGUCACGAAUUAAAUGAAUUCCCGGGUGAGAAUAAAAGAUUCUAUUUUAAGUAAGUGCAGCUGAAAGUCUUGUAAACGAGUGGCAGAGAAUUUAGUUGCGAAAGAUAGUUCUCGAGUUAGUUGUUCUUUAAUACAUCAUUUUAUAACAUCGUGUCUGGUCGUAGCUUAAACUUAUGGUCAUGAUUCGACAAAAUUUAGUUUCAACCGUGAUUCUGACUUUAAUUUUUCAAAAUACAAAUCUGUAAAAUGCAAGUUAGGUGUAAUGUUUCAAUAUUUUUGAAUAGCUAUCAAAAUUAGAAAGAACUGAAAAAUUACUAAGAUAAGAGAAAUAUGCCGAUUUCGUUGGAAAAAAAUGAUGUAGAAAAUAAGAGAAACAGUUUCAAUUGACAGAAACAAUUGUUUCAAUUUUACACGCGUUAAAGAUAUUUUGGAAAACCACGCACAGAUACACGCAAUAUCUUCGUCGAGCCCUAAAAUCAACGAAUCUCCAAGAGAAAAUCAUCAAAAUCAAGGAUCGAGUAGCCCAAAAACUCUCUGACUUCGCUACUUCAAAGGAUUCAUCCCCUUUAACGGUGGCAGAAGCAGCCGGUUAACCAACCACGUAGCUUUGUGUAUUUUGGAUUGUGCAUAGGCUGCCUGUGGAAUUUCUGCGCGAUGAAAAGCUUCUCGCGGUAGAGACAAGCGAACCGGAUGCUGAACGUUCACCGUUCACCACGUGUGCCUCAAGAAUCAGGCGUCGGGGAAUGAUUAACAUCGUCGACGUCGGGCAACGUUCGCUUCCUCUCGUCGGGACAACGGCGAGAACGAAA